AUUGAACGCUGGCGGCAGGCCUAACACAUGCAAGUCGAGCGGUAGCACAGAGAGCUUGCUCUCGGGUGACGAGCGGCGGACGGGUGAGUAAUGUCUGGGAAACUGCCUGAUGGAGGGGGAUAACUACUGGAAACGGUAGCUAAUACCGCAUAACGUCGCAAGACCAAAGAGGGGGACCUUCGGGCCUCUUGCCAUCAGAUGUGCCCAGAUGGGAUUAGCUAGUAGGUGGGGUAACGGCUCACCUGGGCGACGAUCCCUAGCUGGUCUGAGAGGAUGACCAGCCACACUGGAACUGAGACACGGUCCAGACUCCUACGGGAGGCAGCAGUGGGGAAUAUUGCACAAUGGGCGCAAGCCUGAUGCAGCCAUGCCGCGUGUAUGAAGAAGGCCUUCGGGUUGUAAAGUACUUUCAGCGGGGAGGAAGGUGUUGAGGUUAAUAACCUCAGCAAUUGACGUUACCCGCAGAAGAAGCACCGGCUAACUCCGUGCCAGCAGCCGCGGUAAGAC
rnacentral:rRNA from 1 species